ACGUAGGAGGCGAGCGUUAUCCGGAUUCACUGGGCGUAAAGCGCGUGCAGGCGGUUCGGUAAGUUAGGCGUGAAAUCUCCCGGCUCAACUGGGAGAGGUCGUCUAAUACUACCGAACUUGAGAGCGAUAGAGGAAAAUGGAAUUCCCGGUGUAGUGGUGAAAUGCGUAGAUAUCGGGAGGAACACCAGUGGCGAAAGCGAUUUUCUGGAUCGUUUCUGACGCUCAGACGCGAAAGCUAGGGUAGCAAACGGGAUUAGAGACCCCGGUAGUCCUAGCUGUAAACGAUGUGAACUUGGCGUUGGUGGCUUAAACUCCAUCAGUGCCGAAGCUAACGCGAUAAGUUCACCGCCUGGGGACUACGGCCGCAAGGUUA
rnacentral:rRNA from 1 species